UUUUUUCUACUGUUCUCCUUCCAUGCCAAUGACACCACUUACAUUUCCCCUAGAACUGCAGAUUUUUUUUAAAUACUGGGUUUCCUAAAGCAGUUCUUAUUUUAUAUAUUCUAAUUUAUGUACAUGAAUGUGUCACAUAGACCUGUCAUUAGAGAUGGUUUAGAAAAUAAGCUUACACUAUACGUGCCUCAAUCCACUUCAAAACUACAUAUUGGGCCCAAAGAGGAAAAGGGACUUCUCAGAAGAAAAGCAGUUUCUGAAAAGCUGGAGAACCUGACUCAAUUAAUACAGCUGCUGGUUGCCCACCACUUUAACCUCUGACACCUGAUAGAGAAGCUUCAUGAAAGCAGCAAUGAUUAUUAAGAGAGCAAAGCAACCACAGGGAAAAGGGAAAAUCUUCAAGCAAAGACUUGAAGAUAGAGACAUGGUAGGGGGAGAUAUAAGGAUGCUAUAUUCAUAGCAAAGUACCACAGACUGGGUGCCUUGAAGAACAGAAAUGUAUUGUCUCACAGUUCUGGAGACUAGAAAUCCAAGAUGUCAGCAGGGUUGUUUCCUUCUGAGGGCGUUUAGGGAAAGAUCUAUCCCAGGGCUCUUUCCUUGGCUUUGUAGAUGGCCGUCUUCUCUCUGUGUCUCUUCACAUUGUCUUUCCCAUGAACAUAUCUGUGUCCAUAUUUCCCCUUCUUAUAAGGACACCAGUGAUAUUAGAUUGGGGCCCACCUGAAUGACCCCAUUUUAACUUGAUUAUCUUUUAAAGAAUCUAUCUCCAAAUAAGGUCAUUAUUUAAGGUACUGAGGGUUAGGACUUCAACAUAUAUAUUCUGGGGGACAAAAUUCAACACACAGCAGAUGGGAACAUAUUUAAUAACCAAGGUUCUAAGCAAAGUUCUGAAAAGAAAACUUUUUGUAGUAAAUAUGCUAGCAUAGACAAGUUCCUUGUGUUUUCCAACAGGUUUGCUUCAAAAUCAAUCCUUACAGCUUCAAGAACAGGAGAAACUCUUAACAAAGAAAGGUCAGCAAAUUUAUUACCACAAAUUCUAAGAUAUUGCUCUUCUCUUACCUGCCUAGAGGCAGCGGGAUGGACUACAUGACCUCCUGGAGUCCCAGCCAGUUCUGGGAGUCUGUUAAGUCCGGGAUGUGUGGGAGCUUUUUAAGGACUGAUCAUUGGCUCUGAGGACACUUCAACUAGUUAGCCUUCUAUCUUGAGGUAUAUAAACUGUGAAAAAGGGUUUCUAUUCUCUCUGAAAGCACAUGUCUGUGUUGAACAUUUCAAUAAAUUUAUUUUGAACUCAGGAUUUCAUGUCAAUUUUUACACACUUGAUUUUCCAAAUCACAUCCAACUCCCCAGCCCCAAACCACAUAGCAGUCCAGAGUCAACUCACUGUUAGCCCUAGAGAGUCUACUGUCCAUGUUUCCUGAGAAUUCACUGUGUAUACAGAGGGGCAAUAGCUCCUCACCUGUCCACUACACACGACCUUUUGUUUUCUCUUCACAAUCAUUGGGCAUAAUAUAAUAGAUAAGGCAGAAAUUUUUAUGCUCACAGAGUAUGGAUAAGAACAUGAAAGUCUAUGGUGACACAAACUAACAACACAGCUAUAACAACAAUCCAAAACUUCUGACUCCUAGUCCAUGCUCUUUUCACCAAGACUAAGACUGCAGGGUGGCUAAAAAACCAUCUUUAACCAUAUGAAGAUAAAUUUUAGGAUAUGACUGCCAUCUUCACAACUUUCAAAUGAGGACAUCAGGGAAAAGGGAUUGUAUUAAAGCAUUUACCAAACUUAUUUGACAAACUAGGAAGAAUGUGACAUACAACCAAUGAAAUUCAAUUAAGAAGUAUUCACUAAAACUAUCUAGCACUAGAUAAGACUGGGGAUACAAAGAAAAGAUCCCAAUCUUGCCCUCAAGGAGCUCAGAUUCCAGCUGUCUGUCCAAGCUUAGCAGGGGCCUACUGGAAGUUAACCUUUAUGUCAGAGAAUGCCAUCAGUCUAGCCAAGAGCACGCCCUCCCAAGUUCCCUCCCCUCUCCCCACUCCUAGUGGUUUCACCCUCAGGGCCCUUCCUCAGAGGUGUGGGCCUCACUGUCACCAAGAAUCUGGCUGCUUUUUUAGAUCAGGCUUUGCCCGUGUGGAGUCCAAAGUCCUUCCCUAACGAAGUGGAGCCUGAGGGUACAGGGAAGGAGAAAGACUGGGAUCUCAGAGACCAGCUGCAAAAGAAGACUUUGCAGCUCCAGGCCAAGGAAAAGGAGAGAACUGCAUUCAGAAUUAGACAACCUCAGUGACGAGUAUCUCUCCUGCCUGCGUAAGCUGCAGCACUGUCGAGAAGAGCUGAACCAGAGCCAGCAGCUGCCUCCCAGAAGGCAAUGUGGGCGAUGGCUCCCAGUGCUGAUGGUGGUGAUUGCUGCAGCACUGGCAGUGUUCCUGGCCAAUAAAGACAACCUGAUGAUCUGAAUAAUUUGUGACAACUGCCUUGGGUGAAAAUCAGAAGCAAGCAACUCAGCGAAAAACUCAGAAGGUUUGGGUACAUUACAGCUUGGGUUUUCCAACUGACUUAGGAUUUCUGACUUUUUAUUAAUUUCUUAACCUACUGUAAAUAAACUUCACCUGACC
rnacentral:lncRNA from 10 species